rnacentral:lncRNA from 1 species
ACAAACUUUUUAUUUAGAAUUAAACUCAAAUACAAAUUAAGUACAAUAUAAAAUAUUAAGCCUUCAUAAAACAGACCACAACCAUUUAAAGCAUCCACUAAUUCUACAAUAAAAUUAAAGAGAAAUCUAAAAAUAGUGCAAAAUCAAAUUAUUUUUAAACUUGUCAACAUUAAAAUUAUUACAAAAUUCUCAAAGAAAUUUAAUUAGAAAAUGAUCAAAGCCACUACAAAAUGAUUCCUGCUAUUGACUAAAAUCAAUUAAGGAAUUAAAUUGUAGUAUGAUCUCUACUCAUUCACAAAUAGAAAGCAACUCUUUUUUUGUUUUUUUAAUUUUAUGGCUACACCCACGGCAUACGGAAAUUCCUGGGCCAGGGACUGAAUCUGAGCAGUAGCUGCAACCUACACCACAGCUGCAGAAACACCAGAUCCUUUAACCCACUGUGCCAGGUGGGAAUCCAACCUGCCUCAUGGCACUGCAGAAAUGUCACCAAUCCAGUUGUGCCACAGUGGGAAAUUAGUAACUUAUUUUUAAAAGACAAUUAAUUAUAUGUUUCACUCCAAGACUACUACUUCAUCUACUUUUUUUUUGGCUGCACCUGCAACGCGUGGAAGUUCCUAGACCAGGGAUCAGACCCAAGACACAGGAGGGAUCCAAGCCAUAGCAGAGGCAAUGCCAGAUCCUUAACAAGAACUCCUGUUUACUUGACUUUUAAAUUUAAUAUGGCACGACAGGCUUAAUCAAUGAAAACAAGAUCACUAAAAGUAUUUAGAAUGUUCCUUACAAAACUUUUCUGCUUUAUUUCAUAGAUGAAGGGAUCAUAAAUUUGAAAGUUAAAACAAGACAAUAUAAUAAACACUCCUCAGUUACAUGGCAAAAUAAAUAUACAUGAAACAAAUUAGUGUCUAUCAUUUUUCACCCAUAAAUGAGAAAUUGAUCAGACUCAUUUUAUAUUUUCCCUUUUGAUUAUGCCUUAAUUCUCGAGGGGGGGGGAGACUUCAUAUUAUUGUUUUAAAUCCAACUCUAAGAAUUUGUGCCCAAAAGCUACCAAAGGAGACACCAUGAUAUCUUAAGUCCAUAUUGUUUCUGGAAAUACUAUAAAAAGUGGAACUAGACUUGUCCUAAGUAAAUAACAGGAAAAUACACUAUUACGGUAUUUGUAUAUUUUAAAUAAUCCAAAGUAAAGUAAAAAUCCUUCGAGAAGGGCCCACAUUAUUCAAGAGUAAAGUUAUUUGCAUUUAUACUAACAAUUCUGUGGCUACAUUUUUUCCUAAAAACAUGCAUUUUUAUAAGGCCUUUUAUAACUGAAUUUAUAAAACCAACUAUUAUUGUAUAUGUAUCAACUGUCAUGAUUAGAGCUUUCUGCACACCAGGAGAGUUAAAACUUUAACAUCUGUUGUUCUAUAAAACUGAAGGUGAACUAUAAUCAAACUAGCAUCUCACUAGAAAAGUUAUAUAUCUCAGCAAUGCUAUAAUUCCUAUUAAAUAAAUGGACACCAAGAUGCAGUCAUUCUUUCAAAAUGCUCAUUUCCACUACAUUACCAUUUUAAAAACCAUGUUAAUCAAACACAUUCCUUGGAGAAAAUUCACUCAGGGUUCUGAACAAAUCAGUUGUUUUCUACAAGUGACUCUACCCUGAGUGGUAGGGUUCUAGCUUUCUUAGAAGUUUUUUUUUUUCUCUCUUUCAAAGACAAUGAAAAACAUACAGACCUUCUUACUGGUUUACUAAACAUAGAGAUUAACAGAAAGUGCAUAAUAAAAUUUAGAACUACAAUAACUUUUAAGUUCCCAAAGUUUAUUUUCUAUUAACCAGCUAUAACCUCAGACAAGUUAUUGAACUUCUCUGUUCUUUAGUUUCAUCUUUAAAACUAAGAUAAAGAGAUUAGAAAGACAAUCUCUUGGUUCCUUUCAAUUCUCACAUGGUAUGAUUCUGUGCUUCUGAAGGAAUAUUAAAUUGACAUAUUGAAUUGUCCAUAAAUCAAAAGAAUUGAACUAAAAUAGCAUAGCUGAACUAAACUUCUCCUAUUAGAAAAACACAGGAGUUCCCGCUGUGGCGCAGUGGUUAACGAAUCUGACUAGGAACCUUGAGACUGUUAAAGCUCAACUUCCCAAACCUUACCAAGCCCAUUUACUCUUCAGGCAGACCAACAGAGUUAAAUUCUCUAUUGCUGUUAACUAUUUCAUAAGUUAUUUUAAAUUACAAUGUAAAUCUAUUAAAAUAUAUUAAGUCUAUGCCACAGUUUUCCAGCAUUCUAAUUUAUAUUAUUUUCAUUCUAUUUAUAUUCACGAUAAUCUGAACAGUUAAGGUGGGGGCUUCUUAAUAUUCUUGCACUUCAAAACAAUAAUAAAUAGAAUGAAGAGCAGAAUAUCAGUCAUUAUUCUGCCAAUUUUAAAAUAAAAGUAUGUCGAAUACUACUGAUGGGCUAGAAAAACAAGGCAAAGCUAAAAAAGGAAAUCUUGCUGGCAAAUGCUGAUGUUCAAAUGAAUUCAGUUGUGUUUUGUCAUCUCUUAAAAAAAGAGAAGAGGGAAGAGAUGUCAGAAGAAACCUACUUAGGUAAUACUGACCCAUGACAUUUCAGGAGCUUUUAUGAGAAAUUAAUGCACCAUGAAGCAGUACUUUGGUACCAGUGCAGUACAAGUUGGUUUUCUUUGUCUAACUAUGGUGAGCAAAUGAGGCACUUAACCGUAAAAUAGAAAAAUAGGGUAGAUUUAAGAAGAAAUUCAAAAUCACUCAUAAAAUUAACAUUAUCCAAAAAGUUAAAAAUUCUAUUUUUACUUAACAUGCAUUCAAUGUUAUCCAUGCCUCACUAAGGAAAAUCCUUUGAAUCUAAGACCGUUGUUUUGUUUAAAAGAGACAGAAAAUAUUUCCUUUGCAAGAGGUUCUGGAUUUCUGAGAAUGAAAUCCAAGUCUUCUCAACCUGAGUGCUACAUAUUUAUGAUGUGAGAAAUAAACAUCUUAUUCACAUUGGAGAAAUGUUUUUAUCAAUACAGAGUAUAAGAUGUGAUCCCUGAUCUUAUUCUUGGAAGGAUCAGCUUUUAUUUUAUAUAACUUCAAAGAAGGGGAUCUAGUGACUGUAACUGAAUAAUGAAUAGAUAUUUAGCACCUAAAUUUAGAGAAUACCCUAGUAUUGCCAUAGUUAAAUUGUUGUAUGUCCACAGAUUGGGAGGAAGUCAGAUAUGUAUUGGUCAAUGAUAUUAGAACAUUCUCAGAGAUUAAAAUAGCAAGCUUCCAAAAACUGUCCUUGAUUUGUGAAUGCAUCUAUAACACUCAAAAACACUAUUAUCAUUUCUUUUUAGAGUUACAGAUAUAUAUUCUCUUUAAUAAGUAAAGAAAUGUGAGGUUUAUUUUUUCUUAACUACCAUUAAAUUCUCUUCCGAAUGUGGCACUUUUUCAGAGAUUUAGAUAGAAAAUAAUCCUUUAAAAAAUGUCAUUCAUAGUCUACCACCACUGGUAUUAUUUUAAAUGUUCUCUUCUAUGAGGCAGAGGUCAAAAAUAAAACAACCAUGGGUCUCUGCUGAAAUACAUAGCCAAUAUAAAGUAGGAACAAAGAACAUUAACUUCUGGCAAUAUAUUGGCACAUAAACGCUUAUCUGUGGAACAAAAAAAAAAAAUCACUAAAUGAAAAGAUGAUGUUUGCUGUGGCAUUAUUCCAAGUGAAUGAAGCCUGUAUCUAAUAGAAAUAUUCUUGUGUUGUCUCUUUAAAUAAGCUUGACUUUAGUGCUUGAUGAACACUUUGCUUCAUAUGUUAAAAGUGAUAGGUGACAUUGAUGUUUUCCAAGAGACAAUUUAAGCAUCCCCAUUGAAUAUCCUAUAAUCUUACCUUUUCUCCCUUAUUUGCUUAUAAGAAGGCUCUCCUUGACUCAUAGGGGAGGGAAAAAGGCUUAAAAACACAUAUUCUUACUCCGCAGAGGCUGGCAAAUUUUAAGAGUUUCACAAUCCUCAUUAUUUGUUAUUUAUAGUCACUGUAACAAACUGUAUUCCUUACUACAUAAUUUCCUCACAUACAUAAGAAUUAAAAUUCUCUUGUUGAUAUCUUGAAGGUAAAAUUUUCUAUCUUCUUUAAUGUAUUCAAGUUUAUUUUUGGAAAGAAAUGAAUACAUAAAAAUACAGGAACACUGCUGAUGCAAUUCAGUUG